AGAAAAUGUCCUGUGCUCCAAACUGUGGGCUAGGUGGAAUUGUUGCAAAGGGCUUCUAGCCAAUAAGCUUUAUCCUACGUAAAUAAUACUCAUGCUUAUGUUCUAUUUAUUUUAAAAAUUUAUGUAGAUGCUACUGUGGUUGAUAAAAUACAAGUUCAUUUACAAAGUGUUAUUGAAUUGAUAACAGCUUGUUGUUUUACUUUAAUAACUAGGGACAUAAAGGCAUCACUAAUAUUAUUAUUAUUUGGAAGACUCUGACAUACUUUGGGCAUUGUAAAGGUAUUUUCAAGCUCACAAAUAUGGGAGCCCUAAUGUAAAUGUUCAUAAAUUCUUUAUCACUAAAAUAUACCUGGAUGUUUUUUCAGAACUGAGAUGGGAAAAAAUGAUGUGAAAGAAGCAAGUAAUAUUUUUUAGAGUAAAUGGUUAUUCAAGUUGGAUGAAGCAUGGUGGGAAAUUUUCUUAGGUCUUGAGACAAGAGCCCUGGCUCUGAACAAGUCACACCCCCAAUUUCUAUGUAUUUUUUGAAUAACAUAUUAUUUUCCUGCUUUGAGCCAUGGAUACUGGAAAAAGGCAGCUGUACGAUGUUUUAGUGAACAUAAUACACUGUCACUAUAAAAAGUGUUUGCUGUUAUAAAACAUUGUUUCUCACUUCAUUGCACAUAAUCAUAACCCAUUAGGCAUCUCUGUCUUUGACCUUCAAUAAAUAUCUGAGGACACAAAGAAAGCUACACAUGAUAUAAUGGAUUUCUCCACUUUCAAUUUGUUGAAGAAAAAACUUCUCUUAAGUUCUCUGAUUCUCAUUUCCAUUUCUUUCUUUCUAGUGUGGUUACCCUUUUCAAGUACACACUAUUUUUAUGUCUGUAUCCUAAUUCUGUCAGGUUCAAUGUAAAUGAUUACACAAGAGUGGUAUUUAACACAUGAUUUCUUAGCAGCUGGCCAAAUCACCAGCAUUUUAUGGGACUUUUCCUUUUCUUUGGGCAUGACACUAGGAAGAUCAUUCCACAAAUGUUUCGACUCGCUUUAAAAUAAAAGCCAACUUACUCUCAUUCCAAAACUCAGGACCUUUUACUUUUGAACUGACUCUUUUUUCCUUUUUCUGCAAAUAAUUGUGUUCUCUUUAAUAUCACAGCUUUUGUUAACAUAUCUCUUACAGGCUUGAUCAGUAGUUUUCAAUCAGGGAAAAUGUUGCCCUGCAGAAGGCAUCUGGUUAUCACAGCUGGGGAGGUGGAGAGGAUGCUGGUAUCUACAAGGCGGAAGCCGGGGAUGCUGCUAAGCAUCCUGUAACGCUCAGGACAGCCCCCCACAGCAAACAGUUAUCCAGCCCCAAAUGUCAAUAGUGCCAAGAUUGAGAAACCAGAGCUAGAUUAAGGUAUUGCCUCCAUGUUUUUAACCACAUGGAUGCUGGCAAUAGUUUAUAAGCUAUAGAAGCUCAGUGAUUAAAAUCAGUCCUUAGAUUUCCACACAGUGAGGAGCAAAUAAGAUCAAAGCAAACCAGUAGAGAUUGGCUCCCUCACCCUUCUACCACAUGGAGGUCAGAUACCUGUCCUUGAGCUUGUGAGAAGAAGCCUAAAUAUCAGGUUUCGGAUGCUUAACACCCUGUGUCACUAGUGGGGUCACAAUAAGGUGACUGAGCCUCUCAUCACUUCCUCCAGUAGAUGAUUAAUUAUGAAGAAAGGUCUCUGCAUGAACUCAAAAUUUCAGCUGUCUGCCAAAGCGAGUUGUCUGUGUUCAGGAAACAUCUCUUUCAAUUCAAGCCACCAAAAACUGAUUAUGCUUAACCUACAUAUGCUCUUUGCAGAGCCAGCCUUCCCAGGCAGAUAAAAGCCAUGAAAUUUCAUAAGCAUUGUAGAGUGCUAAAAAUUUGGAUGGCAAAUGCACAAAUACUGCCAUCAAUAUCCUCAGGCUUAGAGCUGCUAUUAACAUCAGGCGUACAUACUAUGACUUUAUUUCCUACACUACAUAGAUAGUGCUUAAAUGUAUGGAUUUAUUAUCACAUUUGGCAUAUUUUAUUUACAGCAUAAGAAAGGUGAAACAUUCUGCAGCAUUGCAUGUUAAGAUUAGGAUUUAUUGUCCAGGAAUCCUUGAACAAUUUUAUCAAAUGCCCAUUUCUAAGUGGUGUUUUUCUGCAAUAAAUCAUACAGCAAGAAUCUAUCAGUGGACACUAGGAAGAGAUAAAUGAGUGUAGAGGAAAGAGGGUCAUCACAGAUUUUUUUCUGUAUCAUGACCUGUCAUUGGCAGAAAUCCAUUUAUUAUGGUUCACAGAUGAUUUUUUUACUUACUCACUGUGUUUUCUGUUUGGGGUGUUAGCUAAGAUAAAAUGAAAACUGGGCCAAAUGUAAGCUAUCAAAAUCCAUGAAGGCAGACAUAACUUAAAGAUCAUGAGAUACCAAAAGUAUCCAUUUUUUUCUCCUUUCAUGUAGCUGUAAAUUUUUUUGAAAUAUCUUUUUAAAAUGUAAAUAUUUUAAUUUUUAAAGUAACCGUUUCACUCAAGUAGGUUAGAAUACAAGUAAUAGAAAAUUCUGUUGCAGACUAGAACUUUGCCCCAGAAUGUUGUUUUAGCAGAAAAGCAGAAACGGUAUCUAAUAGCUGUCAAGUAGUUGUCAAGCACCCCCUUAGUGAGUUUUCUGUUCUUCUCUUACAUCCUUUCUCAUUUAAUCUGUAAUCAGGACCCUAUAAUUUGGAACAAGACCAGGUACAUGAAGAAAUGAAUGCUAAAUGCCAGGCUAAAUGCAAGAAUAAUUUUUAGGAAGUUGUUACUACUAUUAUAAUUGAAUUUACAAUUUACAUUUGAUUGAAAGAAUUCAUUAAAAUGUAGCAUUUCAAGUUUCUUCUUUAUUAUAUUUAUUUUUAUACUACCUUUCGCUCUACAAGUUGUCUAGGCAAAGAAAAUACUUGUAAAAUGAGUUUCUGGCUUCUUAAAAUGACACACUAGUGAGUAUACAUUGAGUGAAUGCUGUAUUUCCACAAACAUUUUCAAAACAGGGUUUUUUUUGAAGAGGAGGGUUGCAGGGGAAUGGGGUGGUGCCCAUCUCUGCACACUCUGGGAUAGGGAUCCAUCAGCUUGUGAUAAUACAUCAUGACACCCUAGAGAGUCACUCUCCCUCCACAGCCCUUCACAGUAGAGCCCCAAAUGGACUCUUGCUUUAAACAUAAUAUGGAUGAGCAAUAGAGAAAAUACAGAUGGACAAUUGCUUUUCUAGUGUGUGACCCACAGCAGGUCCCAGCUCCUUUAUUUCAAGAAAUCCAGAGCAAUUAAUGUUCCUAACUUACCUCCUCCUUCCUGGGCAGGGGAGGACACCCCUCCAUCUAGGAGCAUGUAAGCCUGAACAACAACCCUUAAUCCACAGAAAGGAGCCAAUAGUAAAACUGAAGUGAAUGAUCCCUUCCUCUAAUUUAUCAAAUACAGUCAGCCUGUCUACAAUACUUGAUUGGGAGAAAUUGCAUCAGUGUUUUUGGUCAUGGGUAAAGCAUCAGGGACUAGAAGAGGCAAGUAAGGUAAUUGCCUGGGGUGCAAAAUUUAAGGGGAAAUGAGGAAGGUGCCCCAAAACUCAGUGAUCAGAAUAAAUAAUAUUUUAAUGAUAUUUUUAAAACUUAAAAUUACUGCAAAAACUUCAUGAUGAGGAAAAUAUCAACAUUUUAAAUAAAAACAAGAUUGAUAUUACUGAUUUUGUUGUUCUAGAGUGGCUCAGCAUGGAACUGCCCAGUAUACACUGAAAUAAGUGGAAGAGAAAGUUAAAGGGAGCCUGUCGCUAUCUUUGUAACUUCGGUGGUUCUAUUUGGGUACGCUGAACACCUUCUGGAAGCAGAAAUCUAUCAUGUGUUGUCAAUGCUGUGAAAAUUGUGCUUGGGAGCAACACAUUGGAGCUGAUGGUGGUAGUUGACUCACAGGGUGUAGUCCUGGUCUGCCACUCACAGUUGUGUGACCUUGGGCAAGUCAUUUGACUUUUCUCAUGUCACUUUCCUUUCUCAAGUCAACAUCCUUAAAAGGAUGUUGGAGAAAAAUAAACAUUUUAAGAUAUUUCUGGAACCUGCCCAUAUCAACAAGGGACUUGGAUGGAUUAAAAUGGAUGAUUUGGGUGUUGAAUUGAGUAUUUAUUCAAGGUUAACCUGAAUUAUUAAUUAUUUUGUUGAUUCUCCAAAUAACAUUUCAUUAGGUCACCUUUUGCCUCCUUAAUCUGAGUACGAGAGAGGCCCUGACUUCAACUCCAAGGGCUGGUGGUAAAUUCUAUUUCAUUCCCUGCCAAGAUUAUAUCUGCUUUGAGGAUUCAUAAAAGACUUGAGAGUUUAUUAAUCCUCUGCUUUUAAUUAACGUUUUGUUUGUUUUAGUUUUUUGUUUGUUUUUGAGACAGGGUCUUGCUUUUUUACCCAGGCUGGAGUGCAAUGGCUCAAUCACAGCUCACUGUUACCUCAAAUUCCUGAUCUCAAGGGAUCCUCCUGCCUCAGCCUCCUAAGUGACUGGAACUACAGGUGCAUACCAUUAUCCCAGCUUAUUUGGGCUCUUAAAAUGUGUGAUCUUACAUGACUCACUCCUUUCCAGCUAAACAGUCCAUUCCUGUGGGGAUCCAGAUAGAACUAAAACUGGACAAUGGGAUCAGAGACAUAGGUCAUUGCUAGUCAAUUUUGGAGUGAAGGCCAUUAGAAAGAAGAUUUAUGAAGAAAGUUGUUUUGCAUCACACAAUCAUCUCAGAGUUUUCUAAUUGGCUAUGUUAAUCAGAUUUUACCCUGAUAUUAGUAACUUGAAAUUUCAUUUAAAUCCUUUGCCCAAUAAUUAUUCCAUCUUUUCCUUUAUAGAAUCUUGAACACUCAUUUUUGUUUGAAUGUUAGCCAAUAUCUUGAAAGUACUGUGCCCAGUUUUUUUUGUAAUAAUGGAGUAUUUCAUAAAGGAGUAAUUAUAAAUCAUAAAUGACAGAAAGCAGAAAUAUUUUAUUCUUUUUUAUUUGAGCUAGGAAAAUUUGAACUAUCAGACCAAAUAAUCCCACUUAAGGCCUCUGUUGUACUGAAAUCGUAAAGAAAGUCUGAUUGCAUGGUAUGUGUGAGAGAGAGAGAGAUCACACAUGGACGUAUAGAAAUCUGAACUUAACUUUUCUCUUGCUUCUCCAGUGACAACUGGUCCCCAUCUACCUGCUCUGUAAACCUUAUUAUCAGCAAAGAAGUAUACAAAGCCUUCACUCUCCUCUGAAAAGCAAGUUAAGGUUACCCGGGGGCUGAUAGUACAUGUGGUGUUUGAUUGUAAGCCCAAUGGGGAGAAUUUAAAUACUUAACCAUUUAAGAUAUCUUAGAUCAAUUGUUAUAAGGGGAGUGACUGAUGGAAACAGAGGAGAAGACUGACUGGACUCUUAACCCAUUGCAGGGUGUAAAUUAAAGGCUGUCUUUGGACAUUUUAACUUAGUCCAGACAUUGUACACAAUUAUUGUCUCAACAGGAUAGAAGAAUAAAAGGAGCUUGCUUCCUUUGCCACAGGUUUUUUCCUACCUUCCCUGACAUCUCUGAGGGUGGGGAGGCGGGAGGCAGAGAAAAACAGAGAGACAGAGAGAGAGAGAGAGAGACAGAGACAGAGACAGAGAGACAGACAGAGAGAGAGAGAGAGAGAGGAAGAGAGAGAUGCAUGUUACUUUAUUAGUUUGGAGAAUUAACCUGAAAAGGAAUGUGAGUCACAUGUUUGUUUAAAGCACCCCUAUGUUAAUUGAUCAGAAAUCUUCAGCUGGCAAUAAAACAUUACGAAUUUAGAGGCAGAAAAAUAAAGUUCCCUUUGUUACCAGAAAAAUAAAGUUGUAUCUGGGAAGGUGACAAUAACAAAAACAAACAAAAAAAAGCUUUUCGGAAAUGAUGGUUUGAUCAUUCUCACCUAAGAGUUGUUGUUAAGAUAAACAAAAUUACAAGCCAAAGAGAUGUUGACAUUAUCUUGUUAUAUUUUCAGCUUUUUGGGCUGCCUUCUUGGGCUGAUGUUUAAAGGAUUAGACUGAAGCUUAGCUUCUGUGUGUUUUUGAAACUUCCCACAGAUCAGCCUCUGAGAAAAAAUGCACUGGUGUAUCAUGUUUCUAACACUUAAAGAUCUAAUUGGGAUAUUGUUCUGUACAUGCUGUUAGACACUGUAGUGACAAGAAGAGUCCUAGCCCACAUUGGCCAGGAGCCAAUACAUACCUUCUCCGAACAAAGUGCAGGAUAAUUAAAGAGCAACUACCGAGAGAGCACCGCAGAGCCUGCACAAAAAUAGCCAUCAAUAAAGUGCUGGAGAGCUAGCUCCUUGGGAACGUUGAGCGCUCCUUCCUACAUUCACUUUGCUUUUCAAAUACAGUUCCUCAGAGCUAUUUUUUUCCUCACUUUUUGAGUAUUUUAUAAGUAGUUCUAAAUUUUUUAAAAAAUUAAAUAUCUCCAUCUAUUAUCUAUGCAAAAUUACCUGAAGAGCACCGUUAGGAGAUUCAAAGUAUAUUUCAUAAAAUUUAAGGGAACCAAGGCAUUUAGAAGCUUCAUUUCAAUUACAAUUCGGUAACUAAGAACUAAAUAAAAUACACAGGGUAUUUUUACAUCAGUCACAAUUCCUAUUCAAACAACCUAUUUAAAUGUGCACAGGCCUUUCAGGCAGAGCCACUCAAAUGCCCUUGCAUAGCAGGUUCUGCAAGUAAAUCAGGAAGGCGUUAGGAUUGUAUAAAACCGCAACAUGACCCCCGUAGGCUCGAUUACCUUUCCAGCAUAACCAUUUAAAAAAUUGUUUUUCCAUUCUUUUUUUAAAAAACAAAACAAAGCAAAACAAUUUUGUACAAAUCAUGAAGCAUUGAGAACCUCUGAGUAGCUGGUUCUUACAGUGACCCUAAAGGAUUUACACCAGAACUUCCCAACACCACUAAAGGGAACAAUGCAUAUAAAUCCCUUCCGCAGUGAUGGGGAAAUGGGAUCCUUAGAAAGCUCCUUCUCUAUUCAAUGAAAUCUGCCAAUUUUUUACUCUUAAAAUACGAUUCCAUCCACAGGGCAACUUCAAAAUGGUUUCUCCACAUUUCUUUAGAUCCUGUGUAAAUCAAGUGCUGUUCGGCAGAUACCGUGUAUAAAUCAUCCAUAUUUUAGCCCCUCUCUUUUUAUAGAAUGCAUUUGCAAGAUCAAUUUUUGAUUCUGCAGAGCUCCCUUUACCAGCUUAAACUAAAGAUGGCUUGCUUUUUUAUGUUGGUUUGCCUUUUUCUAAGUAACCCUCAGAAAACACAAUGAUAGUCUAAGCUCAGCGCACAAUUGUCUGGCAAGGUCAAAUGGAGAGUUAUAACAGACAGGCGUCUAUUUAUUUAUACAUGUUGCUGUGUGCUGAGGAGUUAGCCUCAACACAUUCAAGUUUUUAAAUCAUAGAACUUGCUUUCAAGUCAACUUCCUCAGGACAGCUGAAGGAUUCAAGUCAAUAGAUAGUCUGAUUUUUUUUUAAUUAAAUCUCUAUAGGGUCAUUUAAUGAUAUUGUUAGGAUGCUUGAUGCAGCCCCCAGGUAGAAGACUGUCUGCAAAGCAUAAAGAAUGAGCUGCUCUCCUUCUGCCACAGCCUCUGCUGAUUUACAACCACUUUGUGUUUGAUGUUGGACAGGAUAAUUUCAUCAGUCUCCAACCCUUGUGAUCACGUCCCAAAAUGACUCGUCAGGUGAAGCCCCGGCAGAAGAUUGCUUGUCACCUGUAGGAAGUAGCUGUCUGCUCUGAGUACUCUUUCCUCAUAAAUGAAGAAGAAAUAUGCAUCUGGGUUCAUUUUUGAAGGUUACUAUGGAAAACAUCCAUUUAAGUACAUUUAAGAAUUUUUUUUAAUUAAAAAAAUUUCACAUUUGAGGAAAUGGACUUAAAGAUGGUGGGUAAUUUGCCAAAAGUCACAUAGCUCGUCAGGUUUGCCUUCUUCUUUCAUGAGGACUGUUGAUGUUUUAUUGAAACCCAAUCAGUCUUUAUGGUGUUCCUAUGUGUUAAGCCUGAGCUCCAGGAAUUCUCACUAAUUUGUGAGGAAAUGUUUACACCAAUGGCUGGCUGAACUUUGUUGUUAUGACUCAUUUCCCAUUGGUGAAGAUACAAUUUAUUUAUCCUGUUGGAAUUGGAUGUGUCUAUCUUAUGCAUAUCCCAGAUUUGUUUCUGAGAGGCACACAACACAUUUGAUUUCACAGUUUCACAGCUAGAGAGGAAUUUGCCUCAGAAUAAAUUGUAUCUUGAAUCUCACCAAAAUCUGAUUUAGAUAAUAUUUAGAUAAGACUUUGUACUUUAGAUUUUUGAGUUGAUGCUGGAACAGGCGAAGACUUUUGGGGCUGUUUGGAUAGAAGGAAUGUAUUUUGCAUGUGAGAAGUACAUAAAUUUGGGGAUAUCAGGGGUGGAAUGCUAUAGACUGAAUGUUUGUGUCCUCCCAAAAUUCAUAUGUUGAAAUCCUAGCCCCCAGUCUGAGGAUACUAGGAGGUAGGGCCUCUGGGAGGUACAUCAUGAGAAUAGAGCCCUCAUGAAUAGUAUUAAUAUUCUUAUAAAAGAGACUCCAGAAAAUUUCAUGAUCCCUUCUGCCAUGUGAGGACUCAAUGAGGUGACUUCUAUCUAUGAACUUGGAAUCAGGCACUCACCAGACACUGAAUCUGCUGGCACCUUGACCUUGGACUUUCCAGCCUCCAGAACUUUGGGAAAUAAAUUUCUGUUAUUUAUAAGCCACCCAGUCUUUGCUAUUCUUUUGUAGCAGCCUAACUAGUCUAAGACAAAGCAUUAAGAAAAUAAAACUUAUUAUAGGUUUUGUUUCGCUUUUUAAAUAAUUUUUAAUUGUAAAUAAAUAUAUGUAAAUAAUAAUGGCUACAAAGCAUUUAAGGUAUGCUGGGUACAUAUCUUAAGCAUUUUAUGUAUAUUAUCCACUUAGCCUUCAUUUAUUCUCAUGAGGUAAGUUCUAGUAUCUUUAUUUUACAGGCAAAGAAAUAAACUUAGAGAUGGUAAUUUGCCAAAUGUCAAAUAGUUCAUCAUAUCUGCAUGAUUUUCUUUAUUUCUAACUAAUUAGCAACAAAUCAUUAUUUCAAUCAGGUGACACAGUUGCCUCUCUUACACUUUUAAGCUUAAUCUAGAAUGAAAUAAUUUACACUAUGUAUUUAGGCAUCAUGGUUAAUCUAAUACAAUUCUCAGCCAGCUACUUCAUUCAUUCAUUCAUUCAUUAAUCUAACAUCUAUUAAGCAUUUUCUGUGUGUCAGGCACUAGGGAUACAGAGGUGAACAAAUUAAAUACAGCCCUUGCCCUUGGUAGAGUGGAGGACUCACCUGAGUGUGCAAGUCAUAAUGUAAAUUAUGCAAAUGAUUGUUUGAUCACUGCCUAUGAGGGCCUCAAAGAAGAAAUCAAGGGGCAAUGAGCGUGUUUAGUUAGCGUGGCUGAAGCAAAUCUCCAGAGGAUGGGUCUCCUAAGUUGGGCCAUAGAGGAUGUCUAUCUCUCCAAAUGACACAGGGCCUCUCAGGGACCCAGCAUGCAGCAGAUAUAUUCACCCAACAGAUUCAUUGUCCCAAAUCACUGCACAGAUUCUCUUCUCCCUAUCUUAGAAUGAUUUGGCAGAGAGGCUUCUGGGACCUCAACAGUGUAGUUGCCUUGGUAUCUUAGUAAGGGAGAAGAGCAGAACUGGAGAGGGACAGUGAGCUUAGGGUUGUGCUCAGCAAUCCCAACCUGGAUGUUGAGGGUGGGUGGACAUGAACUCAAGCUUUACUUGGAUCAGUCAGUCUUUUUAUCUUAGGGGUGGUAAAUGGGACACAGGUACAGGAGAUUCAGAGCAGUGGCCAUGCUUGAAGUUAGGAUUCUUAGUAGGUUUGAAGCAAGAUAUUAAAUAGUCUGGUAGGUCCCCAUAAGUUCUCAUCCAGUUGAUUCAGGGUCCUGAGAAGCAUUCUAGGUCGAGGCACAGUCCCAGGAGCAGAUCUGCAGAGUAUUCAAGAUAUAGUCGGAAUCUUAUUAGUUGUCUUGAGGUGGAUUAGAUCAGGGCCUGGGAAGGGGCUAAGCCUGCAGUUUAGAAGCUGCAGUGAGAAGACCUAAGCAUGUCAGGUUCCAGAGCUAUUAUCUAUUCCCUUGCUUAAAAUAAACUGUGCCAAUACAUGUAGGUUGAUCCUUCUGCCCUGAUGGGCUUGACCAGAACAUUCUUUCCAUCCCUAGUUUUGUAUUAAUAAUUGAAUUCCCAGAGCACAAAUUUGCUUUCCAGAUAUCACCAAAUACGUCUUCAUCAGGGACCCCAGUACUGCAGGCCCUUUGUUGUCACUUUGCCCAAACUCAUCUACAAAAAAGUAAAAGGCAUCUGCUCCUCAUCAUUGAGGUAUCUUGAUAUUCUCUGGAGGAAGAAAAGACUUUUCUGCAUAAAGCAAUGUAAGGCAAGGUAUCAGUAGGUUUUCUGCUGCUAUAAUAGAAUACCAGUUUUAUUUGGCUCAUGGUGCUGGAGGCUUGGGAAGUCCAAGAGCCUGGCAUCAGCAUCCGACAGGGCCAUCCCACGGAGGAAGGGAAAGCAGGCACAUGAGACAGGGAAAACGGGCCUGAAUUCCCAAGAUAUCUAACCCAUUCUCUCCACAGUGGCAUUAGCCCACUUAUGAGGGCAGAGCCCUCAAUACCUAAUCACCUCUUGAAAGUCCCACCUCUUCAUUGUCAUAAUGGCAAUUAAAUUUCAACAUGAAUUUUGGAGGGAACAUUCAAACUGUAGCAGGUAAUAAAUGCAGUUAAUAACUGUAAUGAAGUAAAAGUGACAUGUAACUUAUUAGCCAGGGUUCUCCAGAAUCAACAGGGCGUGUGUAUGUGCAUGCCUGUGUGUGUGUGUGUGUGUGUGUGUGUCUGUGUGUGUGUGAGAGAGAGAGAGAGAGAGGUUUAUAUUAAGAAAUUUGCUCAUUUGCUCACAGAAUUGUAGGGGCUUGCAAGUCCUAUAGGUAACCUAUAGUUUACUCCAGUUCAUGUAACUCAUACUUCCCAAAUUCCCAUUUCCUUUUUUUUUUCCUUGUUAAAACAUGUCCUUUUUUUUUUUUUUUUUUUUUUUUUUUUUUUUGCAAGAAAGGAUCUUUCUCCCAGGCAGGAGACUUAACAAAUAGCAAAGCAAUGACAUUUAGACAUAGUAGGUUUUCAAUAAUUUUUGUUAAUAUAUAAUAAAUGCACAUAUUUUGGAAUACAUGUGAUAAUUUGAUACAUUCACAUAAAGCAUAAAGAUCAAAUCAUGAUAAUAGGGAUAUCCAUUAUCUUAAAUAUUUAUCUCAAUAAUAUUUAAUUUAAAAAUGAAUGAAUGGAUGAAUGAAACAAAAGAUCCACCUUCUCUUAAGUAUAAUAUAGAGCAGGAAUUGGAAGGCUGAUGUUCUGUUCUGUAAUAUACAGACUGAAUAAAUAGAAAGUCCCUCUGUUAUGGAAGUCUCACGAAUGUGAGAAUAAAUUUAUCUUUCUGCCAGCUAGGAUAGGGCUAUUAUCCAGAUUAUGCCUUCCUGGCAGAGCCUAUUCAACAUCUACAUAGAGUCAUUGGUGUUCAAAAGAAAAGGGAUUGACCCUUUAAAAAGUACACCAUAAAAAAUAGACUGGUUGGCUAUGGAGCUGCCUGCAAAAGGCUACAAUUAUAGUGCUGGAUAAAUAAUACCUUAUACUAUAGGGGUGGGGGUGAGGGUAAGGGCAGACAAUGGGGAGAGCACAAACCAUGGAAGAAGCAAGAAAAAAGUCUUGUUUUAUAAACCAGGAUAGCAAAAUGGAAGGUGAAGACAAGAAGGGACAUGGCACUCCUUCCCAAAAGGUCAAUUUACUAAAAAAAAAAAUGUAUAUAGAAUUGGUAGAGCUAUAGGAAAAUCUUUUUAUAUUAAAACAAUUAUACCUAUAUUAUCAUAGAAUAUAAUAUUUAUAUAAAUUGUUGAGCAAAAUAUUAGUUUUCUAGAAAAUUGUGACUGUGAUGAAUGUUGUUUCAAGGUACUAAAAAGCUACUGGUUGAGUGCUGCGUGAAGUGGUAUCUCAUCCAAGCCCCAUAAGGAAUUUAUGAGGUUGAAAUUCUUAUUGUCUGUUUGAGAAUGAGGCAGCCAAGGCACAGGACAGUUCAUUGACUUGCCCCUGCUUAGGUAGCUGGUAAGUGGAGGGCCCAGCCCAGACUUCCUAAUCCAAAGCCCAGGCUCUUAACAACCACCUUAUCCUAGUCCUCAUUCCCAGACCGCGGUUGCCCCAUUCUAAUCUUCCACCAUCAAGGGUGCUCUACUAGAAGAGAUGGAAGAGAAUCUAAAUUUGAUCGCCUCACCAGAAUCUUAAUGACUCCACUAAUUGGAGCUGAUUAGUCAGGAAAUGUUAGGAGUCAGACACAAGUAAGCCACUGGGGAAAGAGAUGGCUUUGUUUGGUUUUCCUUUCUAAGCUUGUAGAAGAAAACCUAAAAACAUGUAAAAAGGAACUGACAAUUUCAAGAUUGAUGUGCUUUUUCUUGUUAAGGCUAAAUAUCAAAAACUUUAAAAAUAACUAAAAAGCAAACAGCAAUAACCUUUUAAGUGCUGUGAUUCUGAAAUAUGAGUAGAAACCAGGGUUUGUUUGCUUGUUUGUUUGUUUUCCUAAGUAAGGGAGUUAUGAUAUAAUUGCAAAAUAUAAUGUAAGAGUAAUGAGAAAAAGAACCUUUUUGACUUGCCCACUCCUGCACCUCCAAGACCUGGAGCAAUGGUAGGUAUAUAGUAGUUGUUCAAUAAAUAUGUGUUAAAUGAAUGAAUGGUGAUAAAAUUAGGAAUUAAAUCAUUGAAAUGGUGCACUCUGGCCUGUGCAUGAUGUUUUGUUUCUUCUGAAUAUUACUAGUGUGGUAUUUGUUGUUCAAGAAAUGGACAGUUAUUUAAGUCAUUUACUUAAAAGUUGUUAUUUUACUUUUAAGAGACAGGGUCUUGCUUUGUUGCCAGGCUCUGGAGUGCAGUGGCAUGAUCAUAGCUCACUGCAGCCUUGAACUCCUGGGCUCGAGCAAUCCUUCCAUGUAGCUGAGACUAUGGCACGUGUGACUGUGCCUACCUUAAAAGUAUACUUUUAAAUACUUGGCCUUACUUGAUGGCUGUUACCUGAUAAUGACCUUACAAACCUAUGGGCAAGAAAGAGCCUUAGGUGAUUGACUUUAGCAAAUUUAACCUAUUUCAGUGAAAGAGCCACACUAUACAGAACAAAAGUCCCAAAUUUAACACAUCUUCUCCAGUGUGGCAUAUUAUUUAAAAGGUAAAAAUUAUAUCCUCUUAAUUUGCAUUUAUUCAAAUAUUAAUAAAGUUGAACAUGUUACCAUAUGUGCACUAGCUUUGUUUUUUCUUUUGUUCUUCUUAAAUUUUCCUAGAUUACCUGUCAGGGGCUUGGUGUUCUUCUUAUCAACGUGUAUGAGCUCUUUAAUAUUUUUUGUGCAAUGUUUUUUGUAUAUAUACUUCCCCAAUCUACUGCUUGCCUUUAGAGCAAUGUCUUUUAAAACAGAAAAUUCUCAAAAUGACAAUAUCAAAUCUACAAGAGAGGCAAAGAGUACCAUAAGGAAUAUGUAGAAUAUUAGCAAUUCCAAGAUAAAAUUUUCUUAACAAUUUUUUUUACUUACCUAAAUUCCCAAAGUCAUUUGCUGUAAUAAUUCGUCAGUCACAACUGGAGAAUAAAUCACAACCGUGAUACAUUCUGCUGUAAUGAAAAUGGUAGUGACUGCUUAUUACAAAAGAAGGUGUGUUUUAGAACAAAUGUAGUCAUUGGCAUACAUCUAAAUAUUUUGGAAUUUCUCUAAUAUUCAUGUCAUUAGAACAAAGGAAGCUCAGUUUACUUGUAUAAAAUGGUAACCUGCUCUUAAAUGGAAUUGGGUUGCUAAUAUGCUUAAGGAAUCUGUAAAGUGAUUUGGGGAGCAAGGCAGCCCAUUAGCAUGCCACCCCUCGUAGACCAAAUGCCUUUCAUUUAAACUGAGGCAGUGACCCCUCCCAAGAGAGCAAUGGCACUUUCUCCAAUUCAUUAAUCUCAUAGGAUUUGGUGGGCAGCUUCCAAUUUACAACCAUGUCCUUCCCAAACAAUGAGUGCAAACUUUAUAGAAACUUAACCUUGUGGAUUUUAUUUCCCUGGUCUUAACUGCAGCAGCACUGAGGUGAAGAACAGCAGGAUAAAAGAAAAUCCUGUGUCCAGCUCAGUGUAUCAACGUCAGGAACGAGGACAGCAAAGGUACAACUGGGAAAGGCAACACGCCUGUACGUCAGACCAAGGACUUCAUUCACCCACUUCAUGUGGUGAGGUCAUUCUGUCGCAACAGGCAGGUGACUUUUCAGUCUCUGACUGAUGAGACUAUGGAAUGAGUCUCUGAAUGAUUAUGGAAAGAGUGAUGUAUGUUUCACAUUUAAGGCCAACUCCUAGAUCACACCUCCACAUCAACAGCUGGUUGUUAAGCGCCUUGUAUAUACAAGGUGCUGCGUCAUCAAAGUGUAAAGAAAGACUAACUGGAGUCAUGGCAUGGAAUUACCUCAGGAUGUUGCAGACUAUAAAACUUACUGGAAUUUUUUUUCCAUAUGGACCCAAAUAUGCCUUUGUGUGAUUUGAUGUUUUUCACUUUCUAGUAUGAGAACACAAAGUAAAUUACUUUCAAUUACUGUGUUCUGAAGCAUUAAAAAUUGGUACUUCUGUCACCAAAGACAGCAAUAAAACUGGGGGAGAAUGGCACAGGGAUAAAUAAUUUCCACUUAUUUAUGUUCAUUAGAAAUUGCCAAGUAGAUUCAUUUACUCAAAAAGUAUCCCCAAGUUGGGAGGUGUCAUGUUCCACUAAGAGGAAAUGUUUCUUAUGACCAAAUUAAAACACACAACUCUGGGAAAAAAGGUUUAUUUUAAAUGUUGUGAUAACUGAGUCCCAGCCAUAAUGCUCCAAGUGGGCACCAGUAAUGAGGGUUUCCUUUAAUAAGGUUGUUUUUCUUUAACAAAACCGUAUUAAAUGAAAUAGAAAGAAAAAGUAAUGUUUGUGUCAAUGAAACAGGCUUUUAUGGCAUCACAGCCAAUGAAGAUGAGCACAGACAAAGUAGAGGGGCUGGCAUCAGGAAGCAUCUAAGUGCAGCCCUAGAAGGCAGAGCUUUGGCACAAGCCACAUUGAGUACUCCAGAAUUGUCUUCUGUACUUGUGGCAAAGGUAACCUACCUGUUCCCGCUCCUUUUGGAAAGCUUGUGGCUCCUUUGAAGCAUGGCAAGUGUCCCAGCCUUCCCUGGAUGAAGACAGGUUGGUCCACUGGGAAAUGGCUGCUGCUGAUAAUGCAGGUAUUUUAUACCAGCCUAAAGCAUAGUGCAG
rnacentral:lncRNA from 1 species